rnacentral:rRNA from 1 species
UUUGGCCCCCGCGAAGGGGUGAGGAGCGUUGGGGGUCGUCCCAAAGCCCCCGAUAAAAACAAACCAACUCAAACUUCCAACCUUACGGAUAACUGAAACAAAAAAAAUUAAAGAGACAACUCUCAACGGUGGAUCUCUUGGCUCGUGCAUCGAUGAAAAACGCACCCAGCUGCGAUACGUGGUGUGAAUUGCAGUACUCAGUGAGUCAUCGAAUCUUUGAACGCAAAUGGCGCUCCCGGGUCUUCCCGGGAGCACGUCUGUCUGAGCGUCGGCACCAACACAAACGGCGUGCGACACAUCGUCGCGCGGCACUGGGGCGUCCGGGCCUCUUAUCAUGGCCCGGUCCCUCCAAGCGCACAGGCCGCCCUCCCUCGCCGCGGAAGGCCAACGCUAAGUCCGUUCGACCUCUCGGGCGAAAAGGGCCCUGCCUUUACAACCCAACAAGCGACCUCAGAUCAGGCGAGACUACCCGCCGAAUUUAAGCAUAUUAAUAAGCGGAGGAAAAGAAACU